rnacentral:rRNA from 1 species
UGUGUGUUAGUGGAAGCGUCUGGAAAGGCGCGCGAUACAGGGUGACAGCCCCGUACACAAAAAUGCACAUACUGUGAGCUCGAUGAGUAGGGCGGGACACGUGGUAUCCUGUCUGAAUAUGGGGGGACCAUCCUCCAAGGCUAAAUACUCCUGACUGACCGAUAGUGAACCAGUACCGUGAGGGAAAGGCGAAAAGAACCCCGGCGAGGGGAGUGAAAAAGAACCUGAAACCGUGUACGUACAAGCAGUGGGAGCACAGAGCAAUCUGUGUGACUGCGUACCUUUUGUAUAAUGGGUCAGCGACUUAUAUUCUGUAGCAAGGUUAACCGAAUAGGGGAGCCGAAGGGAAACCGAGUCUUAACUGGGCGUUAAGUUGCAGGGUAUAGACCCGAAACCCGGUGAUCUAGCCAUGGGCAGGUUGAAGGUUGGGUAACACUAACUGGAGGACCGAACCGACUAAUGUUGAAAAAUUAGCGGAUGACUUGUGGCUGGGGGUGAAAGGCCAAUCAAACCGGGAGAUAGCUGGUUCUCCCCGAAAGCUAUUUAGGUAGCGCCUCGUGAAUUCAUCUCCGGGGGUAGAGCACUGUUUCGGCAAGGGGGUCAUCCCGACUUACCAACCCGAUGCAAACUGCGAAUACCGGAGAAUGUUAUCACGGGAGACACACGGCGGGUGCUAACGUCCGUCGUGAAGAGGGAAACAACCCAGACCGCCAGCUAAGGUCCCAAAGUCAUGGUUAAGUGGGAAACGAUGUGGGAAGGCCCAGACAGCCAGGAUGUUGGCUUAGAAGCAGCCAUCAUUUAAAGAAAGCGUAAUAGCUCACUGGUCGAGUCGGCCUGCGCGGAAGAUGUAACGGGG